CACAGGAUCAACUGAUUGCAUUUCCCUCUACCAAAAAAUUUCAGUUCCCCCUUUACUUUUUCAUCCAAAUUUUCGUUCCCCCCAUUUUUUCAACCUAAACUUUGUAAGUGAGAGAUUUAGUUGAAUCUCUCUUCUUGUACAUCUGUCUUUUUCUCUUUCUCUCGCUACUGUUAAUUUGGUAUAUACAUAUCCUUCCCUCUCUUCCCUCGUCUCUCCUUCUCCUCCCUUUCCGUCUCCUGUCCUCUCCAUCUGAUUAUCAACCGAGCUUACUCAGAUGUGUUGCCAUCUACGGUGACCCACCAGCUGUUUGAUGCCGAUGUUGACCAUUCUUUUAAGUUUAACAACAACCCACCUGAUGAUGAGGCUGAACGAAAAUCUCAUGGCGAACUUACUAUCUCACCAACACUAUAUAGAUGAUGUUUAGUGCAGAGGUUUGUUGAUCAGAGAGUUUAAUCCAUUGUCACAUGGUGAGACAGGAGAAAAUUCAUUGACUCAUAUUCUCUUUCAGGUUCAUGCUCGUUCUCUUUUGAACAUUUUUGCUUGUGGCAAAUAUGUUAACUACAUAUUUAAGCAACAUGCUUUAGUGCACAGAGUGCUGCUUGCUUUAGUGCACAGAGUGCUGCUGUCAUGCUACCAUCCGAACGAAGAAUCCUGCCAGCAAUCUGCCAAGUCACAGAUGAACUCUAGAUUCCAUUACUGCACCACCAAGGCAGCCAAUGAUGGACCUCACAACUAUAGAAACACAUAUUGACUCAUAUACAAGGCCAAGUUGAUUAAUUUUCGGUGACGUUGCAAUUAAGGAUAGAUUAAUUUAUGUUUUGUUUAUUAUAUAUCUUUAGGUUUUAGAUAUUUGGGAUUUGUCAUCCUCACGGGACAUAUUGGUGGAUAUUUGAUGAUAUAUUUGGUUGGUUGUAAUGGUGUUUAUUAGUUCGGAAUGAUAACUUUUGUUUACAAAUUUUUGAAUUGUUAAUUACAUUUUCUUGCCUAGCUUGUUAAUUUCUUAUUACAAAACUAUUGUCCAAACAAAUGAUUUACAAGAGUAAUGAAAUAGAAACAAUUGUCCAAAUAAUUAAAAGACAACAAAUUGGCAGGAAGAAAACCAUUGUAUGAAAUAACCAAACACAAAAGAAAAAGAAAAGAAAACCGUUGUGUGAAAGUCUACAAACA